rnacentral:rRNA from 1 species
GAUGAACGCUGGCGGCGUGCCUAAUACAUGCAAGUCGAGCGAAUGGAUUAAGAGCUUGCUCUUAUGAAGUUAGCGGCGGACGGGUGAGUAACACGUGGGUAACCUGCCCAUAAGACUGGGAUAACUCCGGGAAACCGGGGCUAAUACCGGAUAAUAUUUUGAACUGCAUGGUUCAAAAUUGAAAGGCGGCUUCGGCUGUCGCUUAUGGAUGGACCCGCGUCGCAUUAGCUAGUUGGUGAGGUAACGGCCCACCAAGGCAACGAUGCGUAGCCGACCUGAGAGGGUGAUCGGCCACACUGGGACUGAGACACGGCCCAGACUCCUACGGGAGGCAGCAGUAGGGAAUCUUCCGCAAUGGACGAAAGUCUGACGGAGCAACGCCGCGUGAGUGAUGAAGGCUUUCGGGUCGUAAAACUCUGUUGUUAGGGAAGAACAAGUGCUAGUUGAAUAAGCUGGCACCUUGACGGUACCUAACCAGAAAGCCACGGCUAACUACGUGCCAGCAGCCGCCGUAA